UACAGAGGUGGCAAGCGUUGUUCGGAAUUACUGGGCGUAAAGGGCGCGUAGGCGGUCUUGCAAGUCCCGUGUGAAAUUCCUCGGCUCAACUGAGGAACUGCACGGGAAACUGCUUGGCUUGAGUUCGGGAGAGGGAAGCGGAAUUCCGGGUGUAGCGGUGAAAUGCGUAGAUAUCCGGAGGAACACCGGUGGCGAAGGCGGCUUCCUGGACCGACACUGACGCUGAGGCGCGAAAGCUAGGGGAGCAAACGGG
rnacentral:rRNA from 1 species